rnacentral:rRNA from 1 species
GACGAACGCUGGCGGCGCGCUUAACACAUGCAAGUCGAACGGAAAGGCCUGCUUUCCCUUGUGGAUUGCGGGUACUCGAGUGGCGAACGGGUGAGUAACACGUGAGUGAUCCGCCCCCAACUUGGGUAUAAGCCUGGGAAACUGUGUCUAAUUCCCGAUAGGACUGCAGGGUGGUGCCUGUGGUGGAACACGAUUUUCUAGUGGUUGGGGAUGAGCUCGCGGCGUAUCAGCUUGUUGGUGGGGUAAUGGCCUACCAAGGCGGCGACGGGUAGCCGGCCUGGGAGGGUGGACGGCCGAACUGAGACUGGGAUACGGCUCAGACUGGAAGGAGAAGCAGCGGAGGGGGAGAUAGGGGCGUGAGCGGAAGCCUGAUGCAGCGAGGGCGUGUGGGAGGUGACGGCGUUGGGGUUGUAAACUCCUUUCGAACGAGAGGAGGCCACCUGGUUGGAAGGGUGGUGACGGUAGUGGUAGAAGAAGCACCGGCUAACUACGUG